rnacentral:hammerhead_ribozyme from 1 species
AUCCAUCUGAAGAGUGUCAAAUAGGAAGAAACGCGCGUCAAACUGGAU